rnacentral:lncRNA from 1 species
AUGGCAAGAGGGAGGAAAGAAGGGAAGAAAGGACUAGGGGUUUUUCAAUUCCCAGGCGAGGCUGCUGGCGUCCGCGCCCUUAACGCCACAGCCUUCCAAGUUGAGGCGAAAGCCACCUCCUCGGGCCUGCGUCGCAUCCAACUUACUCCAAGUUUUCUGGUGACUCCUACAGGGCCCUUUCCGUCCCCCCUCCCACCCCUUAGAGAGAUUGACAGUCGCGUGGAGGAGGCUUUUCCAGGCACAGCCUUUCUCAUGGUAAUCAGCCCCCAGCAUCACCUCCCGGCCGCGGCCGCUCCCGCUCCGUGCGCAGCUAGCGGACCCCGGGGACCGGAAACAAGGCGGCGGGCGGGGAGCCGGCCAGCGAGCCAGGCUCAACUCCGAAUGGAUUGGAUUGCGAGUUCGCACGUGAGAAAACCGUUUGACUUGGCUUGGACCCCUGCCGCCCCCCACCCCCUCAACACACCUCAUUGCAGGGGUCCCCCUUAUCACCCUUUCCUUGCAACUCUAAAAGAAGUUGCCCACCUCCUGUGUAACGGCACGGUCGAAAUAAUUCCUCUGGAUGAAAGAUCAAUUCCGUUUCAAAAAGAGAAUAGGUUCCUUUUUUUUUCAACACAUGGUACAAAAUAAACAGAAUUUGCUUUAAAAAAAAAAAAUCAUUAGCUAUGGCCAAAUUCGAAUUCCUGCUACAGCCUAUGUGUUCAGGGGCAGAAACAUUGUAUCUCUUCGGGCAUCUGGGCCGACGAGGGGAGCUGGGGGCAGGGGAGAAAAGGGGAGCGGCUGUGAGAGUUAAGGAAAUUGACAGACUGAGAGGUGAAUGGGGGGACAGGCACCAGGUCCUGGCUGGAGGGAAUUGGAAAACAAAAGUGCAUCUUCACAAGCUGCCUGGAUGGAGGGAAUUCUGAGGGAGGCAGUUUGUUUUACUCAAAGAAACCCUAAAGAAUUGUUUUUCUCUCGUCCAUGUCCACUGCAAUAUUAUUUCACAUUUGCAUGUAUCUGUUGUUUUAAUCCCCUUGGUCUGCGCUAAUCUCGAAAUAGAUUAUUAAUGGGGAAGAAAGCCGGGGAAGGAGCGAUUCAUCUGCAGGACUUGCUUUGCUGUGUGAGGAGCCGAAAGCUAGUAGCUCCUAGUCCUCUCUCGACUUUUCCCUGCGUCCUGCGCUCCAGCAUCCCGCUGAUCCCACGAUCACCAUUGUCCCCGACCUGGCCUUCGGACUAAGGGAGUGUUCGGAACAUAUUUAUAUCCCGGCUUCCUCCGAUCCCACCGCCUCUGCUGUUGUGGGAACUCUCUUCGUCAAAUAGGGAGGGGAGUGUCGGGGGCGUGCCAGGCAGGGGAGGAGGGCAACCCACCGGCGCGCUCACCCCUCGUGGGGACGCUUCGCGUGCCACCGUCCAACUAUCCACCUUGAUGGGAACCUGAAAGAUUGCUUUUUUUACCCCAAUUCAAAUACUUGCACGUCGGAACUACCAGUGCUAAGUGUUGGGGCUGUCUCCUGCCACUCGAACAAUUACUGAACCCAGAGUAAUCAGAUGAUUAGCUGUUUUUAAUGGAAAUACUUUUUUUAAGUCAGAUCUUAAGUAACCUGACAUUAAUAUACAUAAUAAAGACAAGUGAUUUGUUAGCCGUUUGAUUGGA